rnacentral:rRNA from 1 species
ACAAGCGGCGGAGCAUGCGGAUUAAUUCGAUGCAACGCGAAGAACUUACCAAGGCUUGACAUACACCGGUAACGCCCAGAGAUGGGUGCCCCUUUGUGGUCGGUGGACAGGUGGUGCAUGGUUGUCGUCAGCUCGUGUCGUGAGAUGUUGGGUUAAGUCCCGCAACGAGCGCAACCCUCGUCCUAUGUUGCCAGCGGGUCAUGCCGGGGACUCAUGGGAGACUGCCGGGGUCAACUCGGAGGAAGGUGGGGAUGACGUCAAAUCAUCAUGCCCCUUAUGACCUGGGCUACACACGUGCUACAAUGGUUGGUACAACGAGUUGCGAGUCGGUGACGGCGAGCUAAUCUCUUAAAGCCAAUCUCAGUUCGGAUUGUAGGCUGCAACUCGCCUACAUGAAGUCGGAAUCGCUAGUAAUCGCGGAUCAGCACGCCGCGGUGAAUACGUUCCCGGGCCUU